rnacentral:rRNA from 1 species
AAAAACAUUUCUAUUAGAAAUAAUUAAUAGUAAGGUCUGCUCAAUGAAAAUUUAAAUAGCCGCAAUAGUGCUAAGGUAGCAUAAUAAUUUGUCUUUUAAUUAAAGACUAGAACAAAAGACUUAACAUCUUAAUAAAUAUUUUAAAUUAAUAAAUCCAAAUUUUCUUAAAUGUAAAAAGACAUUUAUAAAAAAAAAAGACGAUAAGACCCUAUCGAACUUAACUGAAGUUAAACUGGGGCAGUUAAUUAAUUAUUAUUUUAAUUCAAUUUUCAAAUUAAAAUAGACCUAAUAUUAUUAACAACAUAAUUAAGUUACCGUAGGGAUAACAGCGUAAUAAAAUUUUAAAGAUCUUAUUGAAAAUUUAACUUACGACCUCGAUGUUGAUUUAAUAACCUUAUUCACGCAAUAGUAAACUAAGGAAGUCUGUUCGACUUUUAAAAAAUUACAUGAUUUGAGUUCAGACCGGUGUAAACCAGGUCGGUUUCUAUCUUCUAAAAAUAUUUCUUCUAGUACGAAAGGACCUAAGAAAUUAAAUUCAUU